AGUGAACGCUGGCGGUAGGCCUAACACAUGCAAGUCGAACGGCAGCACAGUAAGAGCUUGCUCUUACGGGUGGCGAGUGGCGGACGGGUGAGGAAUACAUCGGAAUCUACUUUUUCGUGGGGGAUAACGUAGGGAAACUUACGCUAAUACCGCAUACGACCUACGGGUGAAAGCAGGGGAUCUUCGGACCUUGCGCGAUUGAAUGAGCCGAUGUCGGAUUAGCUAGUUGGCGGGGUAAAGGCCCACCAAGGCGACGAUCAGUAGCUGGUCUGAGAGGAUGAUCAGCCACACUGGAACUGAGACACGGUCCAGACUCCUACGGGAGGCAGCAGUGGGGAAUAUUGGACAAUGGGCGCAAGCCUGAUCCAGCCAUACCGCGUGGGUGAAGAAGGCCUGCGGGUGGUAAAGCCCUUUUGUUGGGGAAGAAAAGAAGCAGGUUAAUACCCCGCUGUCUGACGGUACCCAAAGAAUAAGCACCGGCUAACUUCGUG
rnacentral:rRNA from 1 species